GACGAGCGCUGGCGGCGUGCUUAACACAUGCAAGUCGAACGCUGAAGACCUGGCUUUUGUUGGGUUGGCUGAGUGGCGAACGGGUGAGUAACACGUGAGUAACCUGCCCUCUUCUUUGGGAUAACGCCCGGAAACGGGUGCUAAUACUGGAUAUUCACUGAUCUUCGCAUGGGGGUUGGUGGAAAGGUUUGUUCUGGUGGGGGAUGGGCUCGCGGCCUAUCAGCUUGUUGGUGGGGUGAUGGCCUACCAAGGCUUUGACGGGUAGCCGGCCUGAGAGGGUGACCGGGCACUUUGGGACUGAGCUACGGCCCAGGCGCCUACGGGAGGCAGCAGUGGGGAAUAGUGCACAAUGGGCGAAAGCCUGAUGCAGCGACGCCGCGUGAGGGAUGGAGGCCUUCGGGUUGGAAACCUCUUUCGCUCAUGGUCAGGCCGCAACUGUGGGUUGUGGUGAGGGUAGUGGGUAAAGAAGCGCCGGCUAACUACGUG
rnacentral:rRNA from 1 species